rnacentral:lncRNA from 1 species
AUGAAUAAUGGAAAUAUCCAAAUUUUUGAUAACGAAUUAAAGUGUUAUGCAUGGUUUGAAAAUAAACAACUAGGAGCUAUCAAAUCGAUAUCAUUUACAUUUUCUAAUUAUGAUCAAGGUUUUUUUUUAUGGAACUCUUUUAUUUUUUUUACGGACAAAAAUAUAAUCAAAAAAAUUCGCCCUUCUAGUUUUUAUAACAGUAUUAAUUCGGCUGAGGAGGGACUAUUGAUGAGCGAUUCAGUUUGUAUUGGGGCUGAUUCUACGACUAUUUCGGAUACUACCAAUAUGAGUACUACCAAUGGAAAUAACAAAUUAAACCAAAAAGACGAAACCCAAAUAAACGAAAUAUUACUACAUUUUAACAGCACUAACAUUAGUUGUAUAUGUACAAAUCCAGUGCAGAGUGAAAAUGUUAUAUAUAUUGGUAAUUCUAGUGGAUUAAUUGAGGUUUUUGACCUUGAUAAAAACGAUAAAGUGAAUAUUAUUAAUUUAAAGGAAAAAGAAAUUAUAUGUAUGGUUUUCAGUAAUAAUGGACAUAUUUUAUGUGUUGGUUGUACAUUUGGUUUUAUUUAUUUAAUAAAUGUAAAUAAUUUAUAUAUUUUUUUUAGUGCAAAAGAUAUGAAACACGAAAUUGCUCAUUUAUAUUUUAGUGAAGAUGACAAAAUACUUAUUUGUUCUUCUAAAAAUGGAAAUAUAAUCAUAUACAAAAAUGAAAAUAAUAAUACGUUGGUAGGUGAUUGGAAAUAUGCUUAUAAAAUUAUUAACAACAACAACAUUAUAUUUAAUGAUUUGAAUAUUGUUAGAAAUGGAUGUAAAAAUUACUCUAUUAUUGGUACUGAUGUAGAUUAUGAAAGUGGAUACAGAGGUGACAGUAAAGACAAAACAGAAGAUAUCAUAUAUACUAUUGUUGGAAUUACCAACAACAGACACAUCAUUUUUCAUCAUUAUAACUUCAACGAAAACAGCGUGACUAUUUCCUAUUUACAAUUAGAACAGAUAUAUACACCUACAUGUAUAUCUGAAACUCUUUAUUUUUACAAUCGGAAAAUUUUAUGUAUUUGUAAUGAAGCUUCAAAAUUGAGAUUUUUCGAUUUGGAAACAAAAAAAAUAAUUAAAACUGUACAGUUGCCUUUUAAAGAUAAAACUGUACAAAAAUUUAUAGCCCUUGUCGAUUGUGAUACAAAAGAGGACGUGUGUGCUCAUAAUUUUAAUACUAAUAAUACCACCGCAGAAGUAACAACAAUCUGUCAAAAUAAUAAAAUGCAUAAAACUAGCUCAUAUAAAAAUAUAAAAAACAAUUUUAAAAAAAAUAAUAUUUUUCUGUUUGCUUUGAACGAACAAAUGAUUGUAUUUACACAAAGCCCAAUAGAUGCUAAUUGCUUACGAUAUAUUGGUGGUAUUGUAUGUAGUGGAAAAAUAAAAAAUGUUCUAUACAAAAAUAAAAGAGUUUUUAUAUUAACAAAUAAUAAAAUAUUUUAUUAUAAUAUUAAUACUGAAGUGCUAAGAACAAGCAUUGAGGUUCAAAAUAAUACACUAGAGACUUUUAUAGAAUUAAUAGGAGGGAAAAAUAGUCAAAUGUAUAAUCAAAUAAUGGACUCUUUUUAUUAUUGCGAAAUUCAAAAAAAAAAAAAUGAACAAAAAAAAAAUAAACAUACCAUCAAAAAAUUGUUAAAUGUGUUAUCUAUUGAAUAUAUAUUUGCUUCAAUCAGCGUAUUUUUAUCAAAAUUCGAAAUACAGAAUAUAAUACAAGAAUACCAUUUUUAUUAUAAAUAUGUUAUUCCCUUGAUUAAAAAUAACAAAAAAGUUAUUAAUGAAAUUUUACAAAUGGAAGAUAAGAACUUAAUAAAUUACAACUCAGACUGUGACAUUCUGCUAGAAAAUGUGUACUUUGUGCAUUCAAAUAAGGAAGAAGAACCAGGAAGAAGCCUCAAUAAAAACGACGUACGACUAACCGACAGUCAAACACACAUGAAAAACUAUCAGAAAAAAAAAGUGGAACUAAACGAAUAUAAUAAAAAUAAUAUAAACAAAGAAGAGGCACACAACAACGAUGACGACUUUGAUAUAACAACUGAAUGUGCAAAUAUAUUUUUUAAUAUUAAUGCAUUUAUAUAUACCUAUUUUAAUUUUGCGAUGGAAGAAAUAGAAGAAGUUAAUUUCGAAAAUAUAAUCAAAAAUGUAGAAACUUAUUACAAAGAAAUAAAUAAAAAAACAAAAGUUUCUUAUAGUGAUUUUUUACGUAUGUUAAAAACUUAUGGAGAGCAGAUGGACCAAAAUGAGUUCAAAAGUGUUUAUCAAAUUUUUACAAAAACAGAAAAUACAUUUAAUACGAAAGAUUUAUUU